AUUGAACGCUGGCGGCAGGCCUAACACAUGCAAGUCGGACGGUAGCCCAGAGGAGCUUGCUCCUCGGGUGACGAGUGGCGGACGGGUGAGUAAUGUCUGGGGAUCUGCCCGAUAGAGGGGGAUAACCACUGGAAACGGUGGCUAAUACCGCAUAACGUCGCAAGACCAAAGAGGGGGACCUUCGGGCCUCUCACUAUCGGAUGAACCCAGAUGGGAUUAGCUAGUAGGCGGGGUAAUGGCCCACCUAGGCGACGAUCCCUAGCUGGUCUGAGAGGAUGACCAGCCACACUGGAACUGAGACACGGACCAGACUCCUACGGGAGGCAGCAGUGGGGAAUAUUGCACAAUGGGGGCAAGCCUGAUGCAGCGAUGCCGCGUGUAUGAAGAAGGCCUUCGGGUUGUAAAGUACUUUCAGCGGGGAGGAAGGCGAUGUGGUUAAUAACCUUGUCGAUUGACGUUACCCGCAGAAGAAGCACCGGCUAACUCCGUGCCAGCCGCCGCAGUAA
rnacentral:rRNA from 1 species